rnacentral:rRNA from 1 species
UACGUAGGGGGCAAGCGUUGUCCGGAAUCAUUGGGCGUAAAGAGCGCGUAGGCGGCCCUGUAAGUCCGCUGUGAAAGUCAAGGGCUCAACCCUUGGAUGCCGGUGGAUACUGCAGGGCUAGAGUCCGGAAGAGGCGAGUGGAAUUCCUGGUGUAGCGGUGAAAUGCGCAGAUAUCAGGAGGAACACCGGUGGCGAAGGCGGGUCUCUGGGCCGUAACUGACGCCUGAGGAGCGAAAGCGUGGGGAGCGAACAGG